rnacentral:tRNA from 1 species
AGGAAAGUAAGCUAAACUAUAAGCUAUUGGGUUCAUACCUCAUUUAUAGAAAUCAUUUCUCUUUCCUA